ACCUUUUUAUUGGACCCAACUGUAGUUGUGGGGGAUCGGGUCGUAAUCCGCCCUACCGAGUUCAGUGCCAGAUACCUCUGAACCAACUAACAGUGGGUAAGUUUUUCUUUUUCUUUUUCUUUUUGUAGCAAAUUUUUACAAUUCUUUGGUUUAAAUGACUUUGUGAGGGUCACCUAUACCGGAGUUGCCUUUUUGCUUUUUUUUAUUUUUUUU
rnacentral:lncRNA from 1 species